GCUACGCUGGCGGCGUGUCUUAGCCAUGCAAGUCGAGCGGACUUAUGGGGUAACUUAUAAGUCAGCGGCGGACGGCGGAGUAACACGUAGCUAACCUACCCUCUGGACGGGGAUAACCCACCGAAAGGUGGGCUAAUACCCGAUGUAGUCAUCCUGUAUAGGGGUGAUGAAAGGUGGGCUUCUGUUUACAAGCUCAUGCUGGAGGAGGGGGCUGCGGCCUAUCAGGUAGUUGGUAGGGUAAUAGCCUACCAAGCCGAUGACGGGUAGCCGGCCUGAGAGGGUGACCGGCCCGAGGGGCACUGAGAUACGGGUCCCACUCCUACGGGAGGCAGCAGGCUAGAAAUUUGGGCAAUGGGGGAAACCCUGACCCAGUGACGCCGCGUGCAGGAAGGAGCCCUUCGGGGUGUAAACUGCUGUCGUGUAGGGAGAAGGGUACUAAGGUGAACAAUCUUAGUACUUGACGGUACUACAGGAGGAAGCCCAGGCUAACCUCGUG
rnacentral:rRNA from 1 species